AGGCCAUGCGAAGCGAACGCGGUGAACUGAAACAUCUAAGUAACCGCAGGAAAAGAAAUCAACCGAGAUUCCCAAAGUAGUGGCGAGCGAAAUGGGAUGAGCCUUGCACUCUUUAUUUGUAUUGUUAGCCGAACGCUCUGGAAAGUGCGGCCAUAGCAGGUGAUAGCCCUGUAGGCGAAAACAGUAUGAAAGAACUAGGUGUGCGACAAGUAGGGCGGGACACGUGAAAUCCUGUCUGAAGAUGGGGGGACCAUCCUCCAAGGCUAAAUACUCGUGAUCGACCGAUAGUGAACCAGUACCGUGAGGGAAAGGCGAAAAGAACCCCGGGAGGGGAGUGAAAUAGAUCCUGAAACCGCAUGCAUACAAACAGUCGGAGCCUCGUAAGGGGUGACGGCGUACCUUUUGUAUAAUGGGUCAGCGACUUACGUUCAGUAGCAAGCUUAACCGUAUAGGGCAGGCGUAGCGAAAGCGAGUCCGAAUAGGGCGUUCAGUUGCUGGGCGUAGACCCGAAACCAGGUGAUCUAUCCAUGGCCAGGAUGAAGGUGCGGUAACACGUACUGGAGGUCCGAACCCACUAACGUUGAAAAGUUAGGGGAUGAGCUGUGGAUAGGGGUGAAAGGCUAAACAAACCUGGAAAUAGCUGGUUCUCUCCGAAAACUAUUUAGGUAGUGCCUCGUGUCUCACCUUCGGGGGUAGAGCACUGUCAUGGUUGGGGGGUCUAUUGCAGAUUACCCCGCCAUAGCAAACUCCGAAUACCGAAGAGUGCAAUCACGGGAGACAGACAUCGGGUGCUAACGUCCGGUGUCAAGAGGGAAACAACCCAGACCGCCAGCUAAGGUC
rnacentral:rRNA from 1 species